rnacentral:rRNA from 1 species
GACGAACGCUGGCGGCGUGCUUAACACAUGCAAGUCGAACGGAAAGGCCCUGCUUUUGUGGGGUGCUCGAGUGGCGAACGGGUGAGUAACACGUGAGUAACCUGCCCUUGACUUUGGGAUAACUUCAGGAAACUGGGGCUAAUACCAGAUAGGGGCUCCUGCUGCAUGGUGGGGGUUGGAAAGUUUCGGCGGUUGGGGAUGGACUCGCGGCUUAUCAGCUUGUUGGUGGGGUAGUGGCUUACCAAGGCUUUGACGGGUAGCCGGCCUGAGAGGGUGACCGGCCACAUUGGGACUGAGAUACGGCCCAGACUCCUACGGGAGGCAGCAGUGGGGAAUAUUGCACAAUGGGCGGAAGCCUGAUGCAGCAACGCCGCGUGCGGGAUGACGGCCUUCGGGUUGUAAACCGCUUUCGCCUGUGACGAAGCGUGAGUGACGGUAAUGGGUAAAGAAGCACCGGCUAACUACGUG